rnacentral:rRNA from 1 species
UACAGAGGUCUCAAGCGUUGUUCGGAUUCAUUGGGCGUAAAGGGCGCGUAGGUGGCGCCGCAAGUCCAUGGUGAAAGCUCGAUGCUCAACAUCGAGUCGGCCACGGAGACUGCGGGGCUCGAGCACUGUAGGGGCAGAUGGAAUUCCGGGUGUAGCGGUGGAAUGCGUAGAGAUCCGGAAGAACACCGGUGGCGAAGGCGGUCUGCUGGGCCGAUACUGACGCUGAGGAGCGAAAGCGUGGGGAGCGAACAGG